rnacentral:tRNA from 1 species
AGAGUUUUAAGUUAAAAUAAAACUAUAAAUUUUCAAAAUUUAUUAUAAAUAUAAUUGUUUAAAUUCUG